CUCCACAUUAACCAUCAAUUAAGGUUUCGCAGUUAUAAAGAUCAUGUCUCGAGUGGUUCUUCGCCACUCCGUUUGACGCCUCCCUGUUUCCAACUUUUCAGCCGCCUCUCGUAGGCGGCUUUUUUUUG
rnacentral:sRNA from 1 species